CCCUUCCAUCCCCCUCUCUCUCUCUCUCUCUCUUUCUCUCUCUCUCUCUCUCCCUCUCUCUCUUCAAAAUUCAAUCCUACGGUGAUUCAAUCCAUCUCUCCCACUCUCAGAGUUUUCUCCAAACUACCUAGCAGAUAACAGAUCGGCAACAAACCAGCAAAUCGGACCAGCAGAUCAGCGACAUACAUAGCAAAUCGAACGAUUUUGGGUUUGCAAAAUCAUAGAACGAUCGGCGACAUACAUAGAACGAUUCGCAAAAUCAUUCAUUUUCAUACCAGACCUGUACAUAUGCCUUGGGUUGAAGGUGUGUUUGAUUAGCUCAUAAAAAGUUGUUAUGGCUUUGUUUGCUACAAUGGUUGAUUAGUUUAUGUUUUUUGUUCAGAGAUGGUAGAGAAACAAGAACCAAGAAAAGUGAAUAAUUGAUUUUUUUUAUGCUAAUAAUUUGGGUCUUCUAUUUUAAUUUUUGAAUUUCAUACUAUUUUGAUGAUAAUUAUUGUGAUAAUUUUUAUUGUAAUUUUAAAAAUUAGCAUUGUUUAGAAU